UUUUUUAAAUUGCUGUGGUAUUUUGGCCUAUACAAAGGUAUUGAAAUAAGACUUUAAUUGAGUGCUAAGAGAAUGGAAAUACAGAAAAAUUCUUUCUUAAAUUCAAAAAUUAAAGUUAUUUUUAUUUGUGAAGAAACAGUAAUAUUAAUUAAGGACAAGAAGACCCUAAGAAUUUUCUGAAAAAUCAAUUUUUUAAUUGAAAAUUUUCUUUAAUUGGGGCGAUUAAUAAAAAUUUAAAACUUUAUUUAAAUAACAAAAAAUGAACCAAUAUUAUUGGUCAUAUGAAAAAAAUACUCUAGGGAUAACAGCGUAAUAAUUUUUGAUAGUUCUUAUAGACAAAAUAGUUUGCGACCUCGAUGUUGGAUUAGGAUACUUUUUUAAUGAAGAAGUUAAAAAAAGAAG
rnacentral:rRNA from 1 species